rnacentral:pre_miRNA from 1 species
CAGCUCCGCAGGCUGAAGGCCCCAGGCUGGGCUGGUUGAGUACCUCUUCGAAAGGCUCACCCUCAAGCGCUGCUAGGAGG